UACGGAGGAUCCAAGCGUUAUCCGGAUUUAUUGGGUUUAAAGGGUGCGUAGGCGGAAUUGUAAGUCAGUGGUGAAAGCCCGUCGCUUAACGACGGAACUGCCAUUGAUACUGCAAAUCUUGAGUACAUUUGAUGAGGGCGGAAUGUGUCAUGUAGCGGUGAAAUGCUUAGAUAUGACACAGAACACCGAUUGCGAAGGCAGCUCUCAAAACUGUAACUGACGCUGAGGCACGAAAGCGUGGGUAUCAAACAGG
rnacentral:rRNA from 1 species